GCCCGCCCGCGUCAGCUGACCUGGCUUCCGCGGGCCCUGCGCCCUCGCGCUCCCGGGCCCCGGCCGCCCCCACGCCCCACGCCGCGCCCGCCGGCCCGGCCCUCCCUCCCCAGCUGGCCCGGCCGCCGCGGCCUCUUCCGCCCGGCGCCCGCGCAUUCCUGCCAUUCCCCCGAGUCGGCCCGCGGGCUACGGCCGCCUGCGGAGCGCAGGAACCUUCACCUCCCGAGGACAGGCGCCUUCCCCUCGGGACCCGGCUCCCCUGCUGCCUGCGCCGCUCUGUCCCCCUGCCGCUGCCCAAGCCUCCAGCAGGGGCCACCGAGGGCUCCAGGAGCACCCCAGGCCCGUUCUUCUGGCCCACAGCGCCCCUCCUGUGACCCUCAGCGACCCUCCUGUCCUGCCCUCCGGCGGCGCGGCUGUCUGGAGACUCUGCACCGUCGCGGCCUCGCAGCCUCGCAGCCCCGCGCCGGGUGGGGAGGGGAGGGUGGCGUUCCUGAGUCCGCGGAGGAAAGGGUCGCAGCUGCAGUCGCGCCAGCCCUCGGGCCUACAUCCGCUCCGCCGCGACGCGGCUCACAAACUAGGGAGGGGAGAAGGGAAGAAAGACCCGAUUCGGGAACACGGCUUUGUCCCUGGAACUGUACCUCAUGUCCCCUCACUUAAUCCUCCCAAGACCUGUGGGGCGUGUCGUCAUUUUAGGGCUGGAGAUGAGGAAACCGAGGCUCGGAGAGAUGAAGCGUUGUACGGCCACCGAGCGGCUGCUUUGCAACGAAGCCAAAGCCAACGUUUUGUUCUUAGCGGCGGUCGUUUGAGCCACGCCUCACCGCAACGAGUCUGCCAUCAGCCAAGAGGUCACAUCUUUUCUGGAACUCGCUCCCCCCUCACAUCAUGGGAGCAGUCAGUCUACUCUUCCAGUAGAAACUGUUUUGCCACUUUUGGGGGGAAUCUUGAGCUACCAGCUCAUCGCUCAGGUCUUAGAUGACACUUUCCUUGACCCCACCGGGUGCUCCAGCGCCUCUGCUUCCGGUUUUCAUAGCCCUUAUAAUAUCACCUAUUGCAAUUGCCCAUUUCCUUGUCUGUCUCCCUCUGCAGAUGGAGUGAAGGUACCUGAGCGCAGGAACCAUGGUCUUCAUUGCUGCCUCAGCAUUAGCGGAAGUGCCACGGGCCGGCUCCCAGGGGGCCAGAGUUUCCCAGGAACACCAUUGAGUACCACUGAACUAGAGUCUGCAAGUUAAAGUAAGGCAAGAAGGAAAACCGGAAACAACUGUAAAAACCUGACCUUUCGUCACCUUAAUACUGGCCAUCAUUUAUCGAGUGCUUAUUAUGUAACAGACAUUGUUCUCAGUGUGUGAGUGCAGUGUUCCUCAAACCUAAAUGUGGGCCUGAAUCGCAGCGGAUCUUGGUAAAAUGCAGUUUCUCAUUCAGUACCUCUGGGGUGCGGCCUGAGAUUCUGCAUUUCCAACAAGCUCCCAGGAUACUUUGUAUAGAAAGGCUUUGGUGUAUUAACUAACUCGAUCUUCUUAAUAAUCCUAUGAAAUACUACUGCUAUUCCCAUUUUACAGAUGAGGAAACAGAGGUUAAGCAUAUAUGAACUUACAUCAAAAUAAAUAGACUGCAGGGCAAGGAGGGAGGGGAGAAUAGUGUGGGCAGUGUACAGUGCAGAAACAAAGUUCUAGGCAGAGGAAAAAGGAUUUACAGAAAGCCUGGCAUACAGGGCAGGGGGACGGGGCCUGCACACGGGGCUGUUUCACCGUUAGACGUUAUAAGCACAGUACUUGGGGCUAUGGGCUUCCUGAAGGUCCCAAGUAUUUGAGACCUGAAAAAAAUUUAUUGACACCUACAUAGGAAAAGUGAACUUUUAAAUUAAUAAUUCCAAAAUUCAAAUCACGAAUUGUUUCAAAAAUUUUACAUGAUAGAAUUCAUAUUUAGUAAGCGAUACGGGUAUAUUUUAAUGCAUUUGAUUUUAAAAACGGGGUAGGGCCUACUAAGAACAGGCCAAGCCCUGGCCCCAGUGGGUUUGGAUAUAAUCCUGAGGGCAGCUGGGAACCACUGAGAGAAGCAGGAGAAUGUUCUCUGUGGCUACAGUGAGGAGAAUGGAUUGGAGGGAGGCCAGACUGGAGGCCCAGUGGCUAGAGACCAGAUAGGCAGUUACAGUCUUCCAGACUGCGAGACAAUCUCUCUUUAGUGCCAAGAUUAGCAUAAAAUCAUAGCAUUAUAUAACCCAAUUAUUCUUUGAUUCCUGCAUCCCCAAUCUGACUCAGCAUUCUAAAUUUACUUAAGAUCUGGGGACAAGGGUUUUUGGCAAAUCCUUGAAGGCAAAUGAUGUUACAGUCAAUCAGUAUAUGCCUUGAGCCAGACAGACAUGGGUACGGGCCUCAGUUCUGCUGCUUGCUAGCUAUGUGACUUUGCACAAGUGAUUUAACUUCUCUGGGCCUUGGAUUCCUUACUGGUAACACGAGCAUAAUCGAUUCCUCACAGAAUUAAGUGAGAAAACUAUGUAUGUAGGACUUCUUAUGGAGUGGGUACUUAGAAAUAAAUGGUAGCCGUUAUCAUUUAUGUGCCUUUGUUCUGAAAUCUGCUUAAGUUUUCUCUAGGAAGUAACAGAGGGUAGAAUAAAUUAUUUAGUAUUUUCAUCAAUCUUCUGAGAUAAAAAUUAUUAUCCUCAUUUUGCAGAUAAGGAAAAGGGCUCAGAGAUUAGAUCACAGCUCUGUGAAGUAGGGGCACAAAGUGGUCAACCUGGAAGAGCUGGACUUUAUUUUGCUUGCACUUCUGUCCAUGCACUCUCUCCAGCAGUUGACAUUUGCCCUCUUUGAUGGCUCCACGACCAAUUUCCCUUAGUCAUGGCAUGAGUCAGCUGUGAGGGCUGAUGGCACACCACCGAAUACUCUGCUGUGGCGCCACUAGCCUCCAUUUACCUUCUUCUCCAACGUUUUCCAGCCUCCCUCAUACCUUGCCCCCCAGUUUUAUAGCUUCUGGAUUUUCCUUAUUAAAGAGCUUGUUUCUGAGACUCAGAACCGCCCCCGACUGGGAUGUCUUCCAGAGUACCUCCCUUUCAAGGGAGCAGAUAAGUAGGUCACAUCGGGAUGGCGAGGGAGGAAGCUGACUUCUUAUGGGAGGAGGAAAAAUACUGCAGGUCACAUGGAGAAUGGAAAACAAAAUAACAGGGUUUCUCUCUUUUCCUAAUUCUCUCACACAAUCUCACAGGGACAGCCCGCUGCCAGCCACUACUACUGUGACUAGCAUUCUGGAAACAGCACAGGCAGUACUGAUUUCUUGGACCUUGAGGACACUAGUGGCAACUUGAGGAUAAGCCUUGUCUACCCUGUGCUCCCCUCCAUCCUACCUGCCUCCUCUUCAGGCUACUCCAUAGCCCCCAGGAUAUUUUUUUCUCCUACGCAGUGAAGCGAAAUCUCAGCUUUUACAGGAGCGUCCACCUCUUGGACUGCCCCUUGAGGGCCUGAAAGCACAGAGCUCUGCAGGGAAGCUCUGUGGGGCAGGAGGGCACUGCCCGUGAGUGCCUGGAGCAGCCCAGGAUCCCAUUUACAGAGACUCCUUUGCAGCAACCGGGUUAGGUCAUGGGCUUUGCAAGAUUCCUGCUCCCCUUCCCAACCCUAGUGAAGGCAGUUCACAACAAGGAAUGUGGGUGAGCAUUAAAUUACGUAGAUCACCGUGAAAGCCAGAGAAAAAGAGGGACAGAGGAAGGGUGCGGCAUUAAAGAUCCAAUGCUACCAACCCCACCCUGCCCCACUAUCCCUUGGGACGGAGCCCUGUUUGAAUCAUAACACUGGGCGGUCACAUUUCUAGGAAACUGCAGCUGAAGAGGAAAGGUCCUGGUUGUGUGAGUGAGGCUGUGUACAGAUUAGGACUGAAAAUGUGUAUCCGGGCAGACAAUUGGUCUCUGGACUCCACACCCGAGGCACAAGACAAGCACACAAAACAAAAUGACCAAAGCCUGACCCCUCAAACCUGAGGGUAAACAAACCUGCUUCCCUGGACAAGGGUUGUGGAAACAGGGAGUUCACCUCUGGAGAGGCGCAGGGGUUUUCCAUUCUCCUGGCGUGGAGCCUGGUCAACUUCUAGCUCAGAGACUCGCUGUUCCAGGAUACUGGGAGCUCUUUCACAGAAGCUUGGAGGUGAUGCUGCAGACUUUGGGCUGGCACUCUCUCCCACCUGACUUCCACAUUGCCCCCUGCCCUCCCUACCCCUGUUCCCAAGGCCCUCAAACUGUUCAGGGGUGCCAGGCCCCUCUGUUCCUUCUCUUCCACCCCUGCAGAAGGCAUAUUCCCCCAUCCCUCAGGUGUCUGUGCCCAGGUGCCCCGUGGGAAAGCCCACUCUUGCCUUCAGUAGCUCUCUUCCCUCUCCUGAGACGCAAGGCUGGGUGACAGGAGACAGACAUUCAUCUUCACCCGAGCCCUUCAUUAUGCUUAAUCUUUCUAGUGGGGGUGGGCCUGUCAAACACGUCUCUUUCCUAGGUUGGAGUAAUCCCAAAGCACCUCUCAUCAUAGUGGCUGUAAAUCCCACAAGUAUGUGGCAUGCACAUAGUAGCACUGACAGUGUGGUGGUGCCCUGCACUGACAGUGUGGUGGUGCCCCACACUGAAACAAGAAGUUUGGACUUGAGAGGCUUAGAACCUUUGUCUUCUUAGAAAGUGACUGGCAGCUCCUCCUCCCUGGCACCUGCUCCAACCUGGGCCCCUUGAUCUGCUGACAUCUCUGCGUGACUCUGGGUGCGUUGCUUACUCCAGGUCUAGUGCAGGUGCUACAGGACUACCUGGGAGAAAGGAGCCAGUCUUGAAGUCUCCAUUUCUCCCAUACAUCAGUCACUUAACGGAUUUAAGUAAGACCUUAGUAUGCAUCGGGAUCACCAGGGGACUUGUGAAAAUACAGAUUGCAGAAACCCUCAUCUCCAGGGUUUCUGAUUUGGUGGGUCUAAGGAUUUGCAUUUCUAACAAGUGAUGGGGUGCUGCUGUUCCAGGGACCACAUUUGAAAACCACUGAGUUCGAGUAUAGCAAAAAGAAAACCUAGGUUUCAGUCCUGCCCUGCCGCUUCCAGGCUCUGUGGUCUUGUCUUUGACCUUCCUGAGCUUCACUUCUGCAUCCAUUAAUGGUGUAGUAAUGACCACUGGGUAGUUGGGAGGAUUCAUUUGCAUCAUGUGUUUGAAAGACCCUUUCACGGUGCAUGGCAAAUUGGAUACAUCAAUUAGUCAACAAAUACAUUUUUUUUUGGAUGGAAUUUCACUCUUGUCACCCAGGCUGGAGUGCAAUGGUGUGAUCCUCGGCUCACUGCAACCUCCGCCUCCUGAGUUCAAGCGAUUCUCCAGCCUCAGCCUCCCAAGUAGCUGGGACUAUAUGCACCCGCCACCACACCUGGCUAAUUUUUGUUUGUAUUUUUAGUAGAGACAGGGUUUCACCAUGUUGGCCAAGCUGGUCACAAACUCCUGACCUCAGAUGAUCCGCCUGCCUUGGCCUCCCAAAGUGUGGGGAUUACAGGCGUGAGCCACUGCGCCCGGCCUAACAAACACAUAUUUAUUGAGUAGUCUGUCUGUUGUUCAUUAGAUACCCAAUGCCAUGAAGAUUCUAAGGCCCAGUUAAACAUCACACGUCUCUGGACCUUGAUUUUUUCCUCUUUAAAACAAGGGCUAGACCCGUUCAUCGGGGAUGAACUGACCGAAUGAAUGGUCGUGUUCAUGAGUGUUCUUUGCUCUGCAGAGGCACCUGGGCUCUCAGAUAGAGGUCCAGGAAAGGCCUGGACAAGGAAUAAAACAUUUGGCUGUCACCUGCAAAUCUAAGCACCCCAUACUCCCAUCAGAGUUGGACUUCUGCACAGGACCUGGAAGGCCUAUUAGUCUAAUAAACCAAAUUUGGCCUUCAGGGUCCAUCAUGAUCUGAUUCCAACCUACCAUUACAAUCCUAUUUCUCACUUUUCUCUUCCUUUCACCUUAGAGUCUAAACAAAUCUAUCUACUCAUCCUUCCCCAGAUAUGCCCUGUGUUUUCCUGCCUCCAGCUUUUUGUUCACACUGUUUUCGGCACUAGAAUACUCUUGCACUAGUCAAAGUCCUAUUCAUCCUUUGCAGCUCAUUCAAUGACUAUAUUUUCAAAGAAGUCAUCCACCUAUCUAUCUAUCUAUCUGUCUAUCUAUCUAUCUAUCUAUCUAUCUAUCUAUCUAUCUCAAGUGAUUUUAUCUUUUUCUUUUUUUUUUUUCGAGACGGAGUCUCUGUCGCCCAGGCUGGACUGCAGUGGCGCGAUCUCGGCUCACUGCAACCUCCGCCUCCCGGGUUCAAGUGAUUCUCCUGCCUCAGCCUCCAGAGUAGCUGGGAUUACAGGCAUGCGCCACCACACUCGGCUAAUUUUUGUAUUUUUAGUAGAGACGGGGUUUUGCCAUGUUGGCCAGACUGGUCUCAAACUCCUGACCUCAGGUGAUCCGCCCACCUUGGCCUCCCAAAGUGUUGGGAUUACAGAUAUGAGCCACCGCGCCCAGCUGGGAUGUCACAUUUCUAGUCUUGGAGCAUAUUCAGAUACAAAAAAUAAGAGUUGUCCUAUGUAAAACUAUUAAAAAGUGGAACAGCCACUUAAAAGGAGAUGCCUACUUAUACAUAAUAGUCAUGUAUAAACUGUUUAUUUUUUAUGGUAAUCAGAAACAGUGAAUAUGUGUGUGUGUAUAUGUGUAUAUAUAUAUAUAUAUAUAUA
rnacentral:lncRNA from 1 species